GACGUAGGGCGCGAGCGUUGUCCGGAUUUAUUGGGCGUAAAGAGCUCGUAGGCGGUUCGGUAAGUCGGGUGUGAAAACUUUGGGCUCAACCCAAAGCCUGCACUCGAUACUGCUGUGACUUGAGUCCGGUAGGGGAGUGGGGAAUUCCUGGUGUAGCGGUGGAAUGCGCAGAUAUCAGGAGGAACACCGGUGGCGAAGGCGCCACUCUGGGCCGGUACUGACGCUGAGGAGCGAAAGCGUGGGGAGCGAACAGG
rnacentral:rRNA from 1 species